UUGAGGUGGAUUCAAUUCGUUGUGGCCCAAGUCAACAGUUUCACAUGCCUUCAAUCAUUGAUCAGACAUCACAUAGUUCUUCUGCUUAUGAUUCUGACUAUGUGCAUCGUCGAUCAAGUCUUUUAUCUCAGUUGCCUUUUUCGAUAGGUGGUCAUACUAUGAAAUCGACUGUGUCUCUUGUGCUUGCUAGUCCCUCUACAGUUGUCGAUCCGGUUUGAUAUCCAAAUAGUGGUGCCAAUGCUCAUAUGACGAGUAACUCGAUGAAGCUUUUCAAUGCUCGUUUGUAUAAUAGAAGAGAAUUGUUCAUCGUGUCUCAUGUCUAUACACCUCAGAGCAGAAUGGUCUAGUUGAAUGCCGUCAUCGACAGAUUGUUGAAAUAGGACUGGUGUUGUUAGCUCAAGGUUCCUUGCCCAUUUCUUAUUGGGCUGAUGCGUUUGCUACUGUUGUGCACAUCAUGAAUGUUCUUCCAACAAAGGUCUGCCUCUUCUACAUUUCUUAGUUAUGCUUCAAUUACAAAGGAUAUAAAUGUAUUAAUCGGUCUGGACAUGUCUACAUUUCUCACCAAUGUUCGUUUCGAUGAAAAUGUUUUUCCAUUUGCUCAAGUGUCAAUGUCUGUAGCACCUGUCACUGGCAACAGGUCUGGUCAACACACGAGAGAUAUUACUAUCUUGCCAAUGUUUAAGGUUCCUACUGUAGAGAUUUCAGCACAACCAAGAGCUGAUUCUAGUUCAGCUAGUGAUACUAGUACCUUGGGUCCUUCUUCGGAUGGUGUUUUCGGCUCCACUUCAGUAAGUACAGUAGGUACUUUAGGGCCAGUUGUUGAGCAGCAGAGGCCUUCUUCAGUAAAUUAUGACUCCGUGAUGACUAGGAGUAAAAUGGGGAUUUACAAGCCAAAGGCAUAUAUGGUAGUGAUGAGUGAUAUAAAGCCCUCAACUAUUCAUGAGGCAAUGGCGAUUCCUUCUUAGAAACAAGCUGUUAAUGAUGAGCAUCAAGCCUUAAUUCAAAAUCAUACGUGGGAUUUAGUUCCAAUACCGACAAAUCAAUCUUUAGUCGGAUGCAAAUGGUUGUUCAAGAUCAAGAAGAAUUCUGAUGGAAGUGUAGCACAUAAUAAAGUUCACCUAGUUGCUCAAGGAUUCUCCCAAGCAGCUGGACUAGAUUAUCAUGAGAUUUUCAGUCCAGUUGUCAAAGUCAAUACUGUGCGCCUGAUUCUUGCUUUAACUGUGUUACGAAAGUGGAAGCUUUGACAGGUUGACGUGAACAAUGCAUUUUUAAAUGGAGAUCUAGUUGAGGCUAUUUACAUGAAGCAGCCUCUUGGUUUGAAGUGGUUGAUGAUCAUGGGCAGCCCUUGGCAUGUAAGUUGAAUAAUGCCAUAUAUGGUCUUAAACAAGUUCCAAGGGCUUGUUUUGAAAAGUUGAAGUAUUUUUUAGUACAAAAACUAAAUUUUAAGCCUUCAAGGGUUGAUUCUUCAUUGUUUUACAAGCACACGAAUGCUGGAAGUGUUUAUUUCCUUGUCUAUGUUGAUGACAUUAUUGUUACAGGUGGAAAUUGUCCUGAAUUAGAUGUUGUUAUUUACUGUCUUGAUUGUUAGUUUUCUCUUAAAAACUUAAGGGUACUGAGUUUCUUUCUUGGACUUGAGGUGUUGAGACAUCAGGAUCACAUACAUGUGUCUCAGCAAAAGUACGCUCGUGAGUUGCUAGAACGUGCUAACAUGAUGAAUGCCAAGCUUGUGAACACUCCUAUGGUGGCUGAUGUGUUGACCAAACCAUUGACGUUAGGAGCUUUUUCUCGUUGUCGGGAUCAAAUGAGUGUUGUUGCUGCCAGCAAUUUAUGUCUAGAUAUUGGAGACGGAAUAUUAGAGUAACUGUAUUAUUAGGGUCUGUUAAACUCUGUUAGAGUAUUGUUGUAAAUCAGUUGAGGGUGCUGCUGUUAUAUAAUGUAUGACUGCUAUUGUAUAGGAUGACCUUUUGAUGAAUAAAUUUAGUCUUUCAUGACUUUCUAAUA